rnacentral:tRNA from 1 species
AGGGGUGUCGUUCAGUGGUAGGACGGUGGUCUCCAAAACCAUCAACGGGGGUUCGAUUCCCUCCACCCCUGCCA